rnacentral:misc_RNA from 1 species
CGCAAAUUGCGCCCCCUGGCAUUCCAGGGAGCAUAUCUGUUCGAGCGUCAUUAAAACCCUCAAGCUCUGCUUGGUGUUGGGUGCCAGGCCUCCCCAGGCCCACCCGUAACCCGUUGGCGGCAGGUGCCGGCCCCGAGCGUAGCAGAAAUCCUCGCUCCGGUGGCCCGGCCCCCCACCCGCCAUGGAACCCCCCAUUCAAAAGUUUGACCUCGGAUCAGGUAGGGAUACCCGCUGAACUUAA